AGUGCUAGGACUACCUAAAUGCACUUUUCAUUUGACCUGCAACUUUACAUUUAAGAUUAGCAUGUUCCCUGCAUAAGGAUGACAUGCAAAUUCCUGAAGCAUUCUGUAUUUUU
ensembl:snRNA U6 U6 spliceosomal RNA